ACGCCCGGAGUAUUUUUAGCAGUAGCCACAGUAGCAGCGAUGAACGCUGUCCAGCCAUUUCAGUUCGAGCCAGAGUGUGAUCAGGAAAAUGAGGAGAAACGGAGAGCAUUUCAAGCGUUUGUCGUCACCUUCGCAGUCUGCACCGCUUCCCAAAGGUUCUUCUGUGUCAUUACUGUGUGACAGUGGAGCUGAGCGAUUGUAUCCUGGUAGUCCUCCACUGUGGUUUCCACUUGGACUGUGAUUGCAAAGCUGCGACGACGCAGGUGCUUCGUCUUCGUCGUCUUCACUCUUCACAACCACGAUGUUUAGUGGCAACUCGCUGACAUCCACCUCCUCCUCUUCCUCUUUAACGUGGGAGUGCUGCGGACGCUUCUGCUCCAGACCGGAGCUCCCUGCCUGCGGUGGCUGAGGGGAAAGUUCCUCUUGGUGACCAAUCAGCUGAUGGAUGUCUGCGGGACACGGGUGACAAAAAAACACGGGUCAAAUCUUUUAAAAACGUUAUACGGUGUAUGCGGUAACAGCGCAAGGUUCAGGUCACUUCCUAAUGUGCUGUCGUUCAAUUUAAAGUUACAAUUACGAAGCCCGUGGCUCGCCCCAACUCGGUCAUACCACCAAAGAUCGGGACUUGAGUCAUUGUGACUUGGACUUGAGUCCACUCGUGUCACCGUUUUGAUCACCUGUGACUUGACUUGACAACAAACAAAGACUUGAGACCAGCAUUGGGAGUUGAAAACAACUUGUUGUUGAUUUUACUGUGACAAUAUAAGCACCGAACCUAGCAAUAGAAAGAGUAGACUCUCUUCUGUCACCAGAAAAAAAUUGUUUGUUUCUAGCUUUUUUUAUUCUUUAGUAAUCAGCAGUAGAACAUGGGGUGGUUUCACCCCAAAACACCAGUUCCUGGCCAAAAAGAGGGGGGGAACCCCAACUUUUUUGUGCCAAGCAGAAUAGUGACUUUGACGCUAACAUUUUUGCUUUUGUGACACCACAAACUAUAAAACAACAAAAACAAGACUGAGAAACUGCUUUUGAUGGCAAAAGAAUAAUUUAUUUACAAAUGUACAACUGUGUAACACUUUGUUAGCAAUGGUAACUCACCGCAUGGCUCGAGUUGAACGUCUGGCUUUUUUACGUGGUGUUCGCCCUUUCACUCCAUGAACUGCAUCAUCUUUUCUCACGAUCAUGUCACACACUUUGUACUACUUACUCAAGUUAUGUACGCUAUACUCUGCUCGAAUGUGAGGUGCCUAAACUUGUUCGACUUA